GGAUGGCCACACGACCUCCAUCAUGUGGCUCCCCAGGUUGGAUAAGAGCACCGUCCACCGGCCUCUCUCUCUCUUUUGAACCCUAGUCCCCCCAACCUCUGCUACAGGUUUAUCUCGUUCCCCCUCGAACACGAUCUGGUGAAGGAGCGAUGAUACAGUUGCCACUCCAUCAUCGCUGUCGCGGCCAUCAUCGUCUUCUCCGCAUGGGAGGACGUCCAGGAGGCCCGUCGUGGCCGGUUUUGUCCACCCCGAGCACCGAAUCGAGCAGAAUCGUUUCGUGCACUCACCAUUGAGCUGAUCUUCUUCGCAUACAUCGUCAACGUCCGCCGUUGUUUGCCACUGGUCUGGUCCUUCCCAGGCCACCCCGACCACGACCAUGAGUNUCCUGCUAGCUGCUAUGCUUUGCAGGGGCCAUGGCUGUGUGCGUGAGCGUGAGUGUGUGUGCGCUAUGUGUGAGCGUGAGAGUGUGUGUACAAUUAGUUUGGACUAAUUUUAUAUUAGUUAGGAGUUAACUUGCUAGUUUAGUUAGUGUGUCAAUGACAUGUGGACCCCAAUGCCUAAAAUAACCUUUCACCUAAAAUAUGUCACUCGCGUUCAGGUCCCACAAGCACUAUUUCCCUUUUUGACGAGUCAACUUGACUUGUCAAUUCGGAUUAUGUAAAUGCUGAAAAUUUCAGAAAUUCGAUAAAAUUUGAAAAAAUCAUAUAAAAUAAACGUAACUCGGAUGAAAAUAAAUUAUAUAUCACAAAUUAUCAGAAAAAUAGGAUGAAUCCGACUAUGUCAUCCAUAUGUGUGUGAGCCCCCUCUAACAUUGUGAACAUGAACAUUUUGUAUUAGGAUCAUCUGUCCGAAAAAUACCUGGAGCCGGGAAAAUAUUGCCACAUAUUUUCCCCUUCUUUUAAAAUGCUUAGUGAUGCAUUAGAGCAUGUUACCCACACAUAUUACCGUGCCAUUGCAUUUGUGUAUCAUUAGAUUGCUUGGUCAUUUACUUGUUUCCCCCUUAAUCAUUCAUAUAUUGCCUAUUAUUUCCGAUCUUGAUCUAGAUACUGCGAUAGACCCCAAGACCGAUGUCGAUCCGGUGAUCGACUACUUCACCAUCGAGGGUCCAUAUGUAUUCGUGGAGCAACCAGGCAAGCAAACCCCCUUAAU
rnacentral:lncRNA from 1 species